GUGGGGAAUAUUGGGCAAUGGGGGAAAUCCUGACCCAGCAACGCCGCGUGAAGGAAGAAGGUUUUCGGAUCGUAAACUUCUAUCCUUGGUGAAGAUAAUGACGGUAGCCAAGAAGGAAGCCCCGGCUAACUACGUGCCAGCAGCCGCGGUAAUACGUAGGGGGCAAGCGUUGUCCGGAAUGAUUGGGCGUAAAGGGCGCGUAGGCGGCCUGGUAAGUCUGGAGUGAAAGUCCUGCUUUUAAGGUGGGAAUUGCUUUGGAUACUGUCGGGCUUGAGUGCAGGAGAGGUAAGCGGAAUUCCCGGUGUAGCGGUGAAAUGCGUAGAGAUCGGGAGGAACACCAGUGGCGAAGGCGGCUUACUGGACUGUAACUGACGCUGAGGCGCGAAAGUGUGGGGAGCAAACAGGAUUAGAAACCCUGGUAGUCC
rnacentral:rRNA from 1 species